rnacentral:lncRNA from 1 species
CUGGGUAUUUUCUUCCACUGGGUCUCAUGAUGACAGGGAGAAAUAAAUUAAGCAACAAGAAAGAGUAGGUAGUAUAUGGGUAUCAUUGCUACACCAAAGUUUCCUCUAGAUGUUUGUUUAUUUUCCCCUAAUAACUAUCUUUUGUGGUGAUGCAGAAAGUCAUCUUUGGUCCUGUGAAGAAUGUUUGAGAAGCAAAGUUGAAGAAACGAGGAGCUGGAGUUUUACGAUGAAAUUUGGUGACAAACAGAAACAACUAGGAGGAAAAAAAAGGUAGAAGGGAUCACAUCAAAUACCUAAAAUAAUGAUUUGGCUAAAUUACAACUAACC